rnacentral:tRNA from 1 species
ACACUGAUGGUGAAGUGGUUAUCAUGCUUGCCUUCCAAGCAAGCGGCAGGGUUGCGGCAGGGGUUCGAUUCCCCUUCAGUGUA